CCUGCACAAGCCCUGGUUGCUGCCAGCUGGCAUCCCCAAGGGCUGACAGGAAGCAGAAGGCCUUGGGAAUUCCAGCUUUCAGGCAUGCUGUCCUCCUUUUUCUGGGAUCAAAGUGUGCAAAGCUUGCAAGGAAAUCAACACUAGAGUUGUCUUAAUUACAAUGGAGUACAGAAGACAUGUUUUUGCAGCAGGUGAAGAGGGGCAAGAAAAUGAAGACCCAUCUUCUAAUGAAGCUCCUUUGUGUCCUGCAUUUGCUGCACAUUACAAACUGACAUCAUCAUGCGAUUACUACCUUCCAGCUUUCAUCCUGUAUAAGAUUCUAUUGGGUGACACAAUCUUUAAGAGGUUAGCCUGAAAUAGAUGAGAAGCUCAACCUCUUCUCUGACUUGCUGAAGGUUUUCCUUAUGGCUGACUACUUAUGUGUGAAAGAGGUGAAGGCCCAGAGCUACAUCUACGCAGGACAUCCACGGAGCAGAAACUUGUGGGAAUACCAUGAAUUGCCCAGAGACACAGUGGGAUUAGUGUGUGUUUGCUUCUUUAGUACUGCCCCUUUAUCACACAAAAACAGUUAUUAUUUGAGCUGCUUUGGGAAUACACUGUAUGCAUUUUCCAUAAGUAUUUUUUGUGAAUUGGCUUUUGUGAAGUCCAGAUAUUUUUUUUACUAAACCCUUUUGAAUACGAAAUAAUUUACAAGUGUCCUCCUUUUUCUUGCCUUGCACAACCAGCUUUAAUUUUGGGACUUUUCCUGGUGGGGUUAUUACAUCUUACAAGAUUAUUUCUGCAAUAUUAUUUUCUCCAUUCUGUAUGAGAGUAUUAUUUUCUUAAUUUCUGUAUGAGAGGAAAUAGCACUGUAGUUUUUAAAAGAGAUAUAUUUGAACAUUCUGUGUUGAACUUUGUGUUCAGCUUGAUGUUUUCUUUAAUGAUAUUGAGUGUAAGCAACAGCUAAAAUGUAAUUUUAUUUAAUUGUAGGGGUUUUGAUUUUUUUCCUCCCUAUUUUGGGGGGAUGGGGUUUGGUUGUUUAGGCAAGUAUAUUUCCAGCUCAAUGAAAUAAAUGUAAAAAGAAAAAAAAAAUCUAAUCCCUU
rnacentral:lncRNA from 1 species